GACGAACGCUGGCGGCGUGCUUAACGCAUGCAAGUCGAACGGUGAAGGGGUCUGCUUUUGUGGGCCCUGGAUGAGUGGCGAACGGGUGAGUAACACGUGAGUAACCUGCCCCCUUCUUCUGGAUAACCGCAUGAAAGUGUGGCUAAUACGGGAUAUUCUGGGUCUGUCGCAUGAUGGGUCUGGGAAAGAUUGCGCCUUUGGGUGUUUUUGGUGGGGGAUGGGCUCGCGGCCUAUCAGCUUGUUGGUGGGGUGAUGGCCUACCAAGGCGGUGACGGGUAGCCGGCCUGAGAGGGUGGACGGUCACACUGGGACUGAGACACGGCCCAGACUCCUACGGGAGGCAGCAGUGGGGAAUAUUGCACAAUGGGCGCAAGCCUGAUGCAGCGACGCCGCGUGAGGGAUGGAGGCCUUCGGGUUGUAAACCUCUUUCGCCAGUGAAGCAGGCCUGCUCCUUGUGGGUGGGUUGACGGUAGCUGGAGAAGAAGCGCCGGCUAACUACGUG
rnacentral:rRNA from 1 species